rnacentral:rRNA from 1 species
AUUGAACGCUGGCGGAAUGCUUUACACAUGCAAGUCGAACGGCAGCACGGACUUCGGUCUGGUGGCGAGUGGCGAACGGGUGAGUAAUGUAUCGGAACGUGCCCAGUCGUGGGGGAUCACGUAGUGAAAAUUACGCUAAUACCGCAUACGAUCUAUUGAUGAAAGAGGGGGAUCGCAAGACCUCGCGCGAUUGUAGCGGGGGAUAUCAGAUUAGGUAGUAGGUGGGGUAAAGGCCCACCAAGCUAACGAUCUGUAGCUGGUCUGAGGGGACGACCAGCCACACUGGAACUGAGGCACGGUCCAGACUCCGACGGGAGGCAGCAGUGGGGAAUUUUGGACAAUGGGCGAAAGCCUGAUCCAGCCAUUCCGCGUGCAGGAUGAAGGCCCUCGGGUUGUAAACUGCUUUUGUACAGAACGAAAAGGUUUCUACUAAUACUAGGAGCUCAUGACGGUACUGUAAGAAUAAGCACCGGCUAACUACGUGCCAGCCGCCGCCGUAA